UUCGGACCUGUUGUUUGAAGAGGAGUCCGCGUCCUAUCAGCUAGUUGGUGAGGUAACGGCUUACCAAGGCAUUUGACGGGUAGCUGGUCUGAGAGGAUGGUCAGCCACACUGGGACUGAGACACUGCCCAGACUCCUACGGGAGGCUGCAGUCGAGAAUCUUUUGCAAUGGGCGAAAGCCUGACAAUGCGACGCCGCGUGAGCGAUGAAGGUCUUCGGAUUGUAAAGCUCUGUUGUAGGGGAUGAAAGUAUUUGAUGUAAAUAGCAUUAAGUAUUGACAGUACCCUAAGAGGAAGCCACGGCUAACUCCGUGCCAGCAGCCGCGGUAAUACGGAGGUGGCAAGCGUUGUUCGGAUUGAUUGGGUGUAAAGGGCAUGUAGGCGUCCUGGUAAGUCGAACGUGAAAUCCCGCAGCUCAACUGCGGAACUGCAUUCGAAACUGCCGGGAUUGAGUACGGAAGGGGAGAAUGGAAUUCCCGGUGUAAGGGAGAAAUCUGUAGAUAUCGGGAGGAACACCAGUGGCGAAGGCGAUUCUCUGGGCCGAUACUGACGCUGAAAUGCGAAAGCUAGGGGAGCAAACAGGAUUAGAUACCCUGGUAGUCCUAGCCGUAAACGAUGGGCACUAGGUGUCGGC
rnacentral:rRNA from 1 species